UUCAGCCAGUUAAAGUCGGUGCUGGGUGGAUGCUCGGUGUCUCUCCACCUGGUGGAGGUGAGUCCGGCUCUGAGUGGCAUUCAGGCUCAGACUCUGACGGGGGGGAGCAGCGUGGAGUCGAGCAGCGAGGACGACCUGGUGUUCAGACGAGGGGAAACGAGCGCCGGGCUGCCGGUGUUCUGGUACCGCUGCCUGGAGGACGUGCCUGCAGGCUUCAGCAUCUUUAUCGCUCACGAGUUCUUUGACGCUCUGCCCAUCCACACAUUUCAGAGGACGCCUAAAGGCUGGAGGGAGGUUCUGGUGGACAUCGACCCGGAGAAACAGAACCGGCUGAGGUUCGUCGUCUCUCCGUCUCCCACACCUGCCUCGUCCGCGCUCAUACA